CGAGUGGCUCAAGCGUUAGUCCGGAAUUAUUGGGCGUAAAGGAUGUGUAGGUGGUUAUGUUAGUCGGGUGUCUAACCUUCCGGGCUUUACCUGGAUUCAGCAUUCGAAACGGUAUGACUAGAGUAUGUUAGGGGUAAGCGGAACUAAUAGUGUAGGGGUGAAAUCCGUUGAUAUUAUUGGGAACACCAAAAGCGAAGGCAGCUUACUGGGACAUUACUGACACUGAAACAUGAAAGCGUGGGUAGCGAAUGGGAUUAGAUACCCCAGUAGUCCACGCCCUAAACGAUGUUCUCUCGCUAUUGAAAGUAUCGACCCUUUCAGUGGCUUAGCUAACGCGGUAAGAGAACCGCCUGGGAAGUACGAUCGCAAGAUUA
rnacentral:rRNA from 1 species